rnacentral:lncRNA from 1 species
UUUUUAAUUUUAUAUUUACGUAAAAUUGAUAUCAAUUCAAUUAUCAUAUUUAUAUUAUUAAAAUGCGAUUUUAUUAAAAAAGAAACGUAAGAAACCCUUGAAAGCACAGACGAGCAAACUAAGGUCGGACCUAGUUAAAACCCCUUUGAGGAAAACCUGCAAGAGAAAAAUCUCAAAGGGAAAAAAGACCUGUCUAACUAAGAGCAACAAACGACGCCAACUAGAAAGAGAGAACUCCGCCGUACUCCGGCCGGACCAUUGCACGAGCAGAGUAAACUCAAAGCGUGAUGCAGCUUCUAGAGCUCCGGCCAGACCAUCGCUCUGGAAACUUUCCAGCGAAACAGAACCAAAUAAAAAUAAAAACAAAAAAGAAAGCAGUGCAGGG